GACGAACCGUCCAAACGUUAUUCGGAAUCACUGGGCUUAAAGGGCGCGUAGGCGGCCGAGCGGGUCACGGGUGAAAUCCUCCAGCUUAACUGGAGAACUGCCCUUGAUACCACUGCGGCUCGAGGAAGGAAGGGGCAAUCGGAACUGUCGGUGGAGCGGUGAAAUGCGUUGAUAUCGAACAGGAACGCCGGUGGCGAAAGCGGAUUGCUGGUCCUUUUUUCUGACGCUGAGGCGCGAAAGCCAGGGAGCAAACGGG
rnacentral:rRNA from 1 species